GGGGAAUAUUGCGCAAUGGGGGAAACCCUGACGCAGCAACGCCGCGUGGGUGAUGAAGGUCUUCGGAUUGUAAAACCCUGUCUUCUGGGACGAUAAUGACGGUACCAGAGGAGGAAGCCACGGCUAACUACGUGCCAGCAGCCGCGGUAAUACGUAGGUGGCGAGCGUUGUCCGGAUUUACUGGGCGUAAAGGAUGCGUAGGCGGGCAUUUAAGUGAGAUGUGAAAUCCCCGGGCUUAACUUGGGGGCUGCAUUUCAAACUGGGUGCCUAGAGUGCAGGAGAGGUAAGUGGAAUUCCUAGUGUAGCGGUGAAAUGCGUAGAGAUUAGGAAGAACACCAGUGGCGAAGGCGACUUACUGGACUGUAACUGACGCUGAGGCAUGAAAGCGUGGGUAGCAAAC
rnacentral:rRNA from 1 species